rnacentral:piRNA from 1 species
UGCUGUGAUAAAAUAUUGUGACCUAGAGAAU